rnacentral:rRNA from 1 species
UUAGAGUUUGAUCCUGGCUCAGAACGAACGCUGGCGGCGCGUCUUAAGCAUGCAAGUCGAACGGCAAGAUCGGUGCUUGCACUGAUCCUAGAGUGGCGGACUGGUGAGUAACGCGUGGGUGACGUACCCUUUAGAUGGGGAUAGCUGUUAGAAAUAGCAGAUAAUACCGAAUAAGCUCUCAUAUGUUAGAGGUGUGAGAGGAAAGGAACUUUUGUUCCGCUGAAGGAACGGCCCGCGUACUAUUAGCUAGUUGGUGAGGUAACGGCUCACCAAGGCGACGAUAGUUACCCGGCCUAAGAGGGUGAUCGGGCACAUUGGGACUGAGAUACGGCCCAGACUCCUACGGGAGGCAGCAGCUAAGAAUAUUCCGCAAUGGACGAAAGUCUGACGGAGCGACGCCGCGUGGAUGAUGAAGGUCGGAAGAUUGUAAAAUCCUUUUAUGACUGAGGAAUAAGUCUGUUGAGAGAAACGGCAGAUGGUGACUGUAGGUCAUGAAUAAGCAACGGCUAAUUACGUGCCAGCAGCCGCGGUAACACGUAAGUUGCGAGCGUUGUUCGGAAUUAUUGGGCGUAAAGGGCAUGUAGGCGGUUUUGCAAGCUUGGUGUGAAAGGCAGGAGCUUAACUCCUGGACUGCGCUGAGAACUGCAUAACUAGAGUCACUGAGGGGAAAUCAGAAUUCCUGGUGUAGGGGUGAAAUCUGUAGAUAUCAGGAAGAAUACCAAUGGCGAAGGCAGGUUACCAGCAGAUGACUGACGCUGAGGUGCGAAGGUGCGGGGAGCAAACAGGAUUAGAUACCCUGGUAGUCCGCACAGUAAACUAUGAUAACCAGCUGUCGGCGAUAGAAUGUCGGUGGCCAAGCGAAAGCGAUAAGUUAUCCACCUGGGGAGUACGACCGCAAGGUUGAAACUCAAAGGAAUUGACGGGGGCCCGCACAAGCGGAGGAACAUGUGGUUUAAUUCGAUGAUACGCGAGGAACCUUACCCGGGCUCGAACGGUACCGGACGACUUCAGAGAUGGAGUUUCCCUUCGGGGCUGGUAUCGAGGUGCUGCAUGGUUGUCGUCAGCUCGUGCCGUGAGGUGUCGGCUUAAGUGCCAUAACGAGCGCAACCCUUGUUGACAGUUGCCAUCAGGUAAAGCUGGGGACUCUGCCGAGACUGCCACCGUAAGGUGUGAGGAAGGGGGGGAUGACGUCAAAUCAGCACGGCCCUUAUGUCCGGGGCGACACACGUGUUACAAUGGUGACUACAGAGGGAAGCUACAUGGCGACAGGAUGCGAAUCUCGAAAAGUCAUCCCAGUUCGGAUCGGAGUCUGCAACUCGACUCCGUGAAGUUGGAUUCGCUAGUAAUCGCGCAUCAGCCAUGGCGCGGUGAAUACGUUCCCGGGCCUUGCACACACCGCCCGUCAA